GGGGUUAUAGCUCAAUGGCAGAGCACUUGCUUAGCAAGCACAAGGGUCUGGGUUUAAUCCCCAGUACCA
rnacentral:tRNA from 1 species